GGGGGUACACGAGCGGCGAACGGGUGAGUAACACGUGAGCAACCUACCCUCAACUUCGGGAUAAGCCUCGGAAACAAGGUCUAAUACCGGAUAUCACUCCUUUCCUCAUGGUUUGGGGUUGAAAGUUCUGGCGGUUGGGGAUGGGCUCGCGGCCUAUCAGCUUGUUGGUGGGGUAAUGGCCUACCAAGGCGUCGACGGGUAGCCGGCCUGAGAGGGCGACCGGCCACACUGGGACUGAGACACGGCCCAGACUCCUACGGGAGGCAGCAGUGGGGAAUAUUGCGCAAUGGACGAAAGUCUGACGCAGCAACGCCGCGUGAGGGAUGACGGCCUUCGGGUUGUAAACCUCUUUCAGCAGGGACGAAGCGAGAGUGACGGUACCUGCAGAAGAAGGACCGGCCAACUACGUGCCAGCAGCCGCGGUAAUACGUAGGGUCCGAGCGUUGUCCGGAAUUAUUGGGCGUAAAGGGCUCGUAGGCGGUUCGUCACGUCGGGAGUGAAAACUCGGAGCUCAACUCCGAGCCUGCUUCCGAUACGGGCAGACUAGAGGUAGGCAGGGGAGAGCGGAACUCCUGGUGUAGCGGUGGAAUGCGCAGAUAUCAGGAAGAACACCGGUGGCGAAGGCGGCUCUCUGGGCCUUACCUGACGCUGAGGAGCGAAAGCGUGGGUAGCGAACAGGAUUAGAUACCCUGGUAGUCCACGCCGUAAACGUUGGGCGCUAGGUGUGGGGGACAUUCCACGUCCUCCGUGCCGCAGCUAACGCAUUAAGCGCCCCGCCUGGGGAGUACGGCCGCAAGGCUAAAACUCAAAGGAAUUGACGGGGGCCCGCACAAGCGGCGGAGCAUGCGGAUUAAUUCGAUGCAACGCGAAGAACCUUACCUGGGUUUGACAUAUAGGGAAAUCCUCCAGAGAUGGGGGGUCCGUAAGGGUCCUAUACAGGUGGUGCAUGGCUGUCGUCAGCUCGUGUCGUGAGAUGUUGGGUUAAGUCCCGCAACGAGCGCAACCCUCGUCCUAUGUUGCCAGCACGUUAUGGUGGGGACUCAUAGGAGACUGCCGGGGUCAACUCGGAGGAAGGUGGGGAUGACGUCAAGUCAUCAUGCCCCUUAUGUCCAGGGCUUCACGCAUGCUACAAUGGCCGGUACAAAGGGCUGCGAAACCGCAAGGUGGAGCGAAUCCCAAAAAGCCGGUCUCAGUUCGGAUUGGGGUCUGCAACUCGACCCCAUGAAGUCGGAGUCGCUAGUAAUCGCAGAUCAGCAACGCUGCGGUGAAUACGUUCCCGGGCCUUGUACACACCGCCCGUCACGUCAUGAAAGUCGGCAAC
rnacentral:rRNA from 1 species